ACGAACGCUGGCGGCGUGCUUAACACAUGCAAGUCGAACGGUGAAGCGCCUUCCUUUUUGGUGGGUGUGGAUGAGUGGCGAACGGGUGAGUAACACGUGAGUAACCUGCCCCCUUCUUCUGGAUAACCGCAUGAAAGUGUGGCUAAUACGGGAUAUUCUGGGUCUGUCGCAUGAUGGGUCUGGGAAAGAUAUUGUUUCGGUGGGGGAUGGGCUCGCGGCCUAUCAGCUUGUUGGUGGGGUGAUGGCCUACCAAGGCGGUGACGGGUAGCCGGCCUGAGAGGGUGGACGGUCACACUGGGACUGAGACACGGCCCAGACUCCUACGGGAGGCAGCAGGGGGGAAUAUUGCACAAUGGGCGCAAGCCUGAUGCAGCGACGCCGCGUGAGGGAUGGAGGCCUUCGGGUUGUGAACCUCUUUCGCCAGUGAAGCAGGCCUGCCUCGUUUGUGGGUGGGUUGACGGUAGCUGGAUAAGAGGCGCCGGCUAACUACGUG
rnacentral:rRNA from 1 species